rnacentral:tRNA from 1 species
GAGGUGUUAGUAAACCAAUUACAUAGCCUUGUCAGGACUAAAUCACAGGCAUACCCAUCCUGUACACCUCC